GUGAACCUUGGACACACUCAGAGGUCAGGGGUGUUUUGUAAAUGAAUGUGUUUGGUGCUAUAAUAUUAAAGGGCGGAAGGAGUGACGCAUCUGUAGGAAUUCAACAGGUGUCUGAGAGUUUUAAAUAAUCGUAAAGAAAACAGCAGCACACAAGUUUGAAACAACAUGAGGGAGUGAGGAGUGAAUAAUACCUGUGCUGGUGAGGACACACGUCUUCUUGCAUUCGUCUUCUGUCUGGAAGCGGUUAUCGUUACCCUGACAGCCUCCGUACCAGAACUGAGCACAAGCGUUUGCCUGUCUGUCAUAGUACCAGCGAAUGACGUAGUCUCUACAAGAGCCCUGACUCAGACUGAGCAAACACCGGGGAUCCAGAGGAGCUGAUUCUGAUGCACCACAGAAGAAGAGAAAGAUGAGGCUUUGCAUUCACAUUCACUGAAGUAGAAUGUGUUGACACUGAUGAAGAUGAUACUGAUGAUGAAGAAGAGGAUGUUGAUGAUGAAGAUGAUGAAGAUGUUCCUGGCUGUACAGUCAGACCUGGCUCGCCUAUGCCAGGUGGACCUGGAGGACCUGGUCUCCCCUGAAAUCCCAUAUCUCCCUGCAAACGGAUCAAAGACGUGAACAAUUUAGAAGAAAAAGUAAGAAAUAUGUAUAAAAAUUACAAAAAUCCUGUAACACCUGACAUAAUAGUCACAUAAAUAAUAGUCAAAGGAAAAAUAACAUCUUAAACCAGUCUGAGAUUGUUUGCUGGUCUUACAUCCCAGCCAAGCUGGUGUUAUGAUGGUUUAACUGGUCGGCGAGCUGAAAAAUGACCAAAACUCCACUAAACCUAAUGGAGUAACUCAGCUUAGGCAUUUUUUCCAGCUUUAAAGUCUGAUUGUUUGCUGUGAUUUUGGAGAAUUUAAGUGAAUUUGCAGUC